rnacentral:rRNA from 1 species
GACGAACGCUGGCGGCGUGCUUAACACAUGCAAGUCGAACGCUGAAGCUCAGCUUUUGUUGGGUGGAUGAGUGGCGAACGGGUGAGUAACACGUGAGUAACCUGCCCCCUUCUUUGGGAUAACGCCCGGAAACGGGUGCUAAUACUGGAUAUUCACUGGUCUUCGCAUGGGGGUUGGUGGAAAGGGUUUUUCUGGUGGGGGAUGGGCUCACGGCCUAUCAGCUUGUUGGUGGGGUGAUGGCCUACCAAGGCUUUGACGGGUAGCCGGCCUGAGAGGGUGACCGGUCACAUUGGGACUGAGAUACGGCCCAGACUCCUACGGGAGGCAGCAGUGGGGAAUAUUGCACAAUGGGCGCAAGCCUGAUGCAGCGACGCCGCGUGAGGGAUGGAGGCCUUCGGGUUGUGAACCUCUUUCGCUCAUGGUCAAGCCGCAACAAUGGUUGUGGUGAGGGUAGUGGGUAAAGAAGCGCCGGCUAACUACGUG